CACGUAGGGUGCGAGCGUUGUCCGGAAUUAUUGGGCGUAAAGAGCUCGUAGGCGGUCUGUCGCGUCUGCUGUGAAAAACUCAGGGCUUAACCCUGAGCUUGCAGUGGGUACGGGCAGACUAGAGUGCGGUAGGGGGAGACUGGAAUUCCGUGGUGUAGCGGUGAAAUGCGCAGAUAUCAGGAGGAACACCGGUGGGCGAAGGCGGUUCUCUGGGCCUUG
rnacentral:rRNA from 1 species